GUCCCUUCGGGGACAUCCAAUAAAAUUAGAAUGACACAUAGAAAAUUAGCAUGAUGGCCCCUGUGCAAGGAUGACAAGCGCAAAUCGAGAAAUGGUCCUGAUUUUU
rnacentral:snRNA from 1 species